rnacentral:rRNA from 1 species
AUGGACUCUAUAGUGGCAUGCCUCAAUGUAAGCUUAGGCCAACCGCAUUGCACACCACUCGUCCACAAGAACAUGGCCAGAUCACAGAGCAGCACAACCCAUAUUAUACAGGUGCAAUCCACACCCCCAAGCACUAACCAACGGGAGAAAAGACUACACAAUAAAAAGCACUCUAGACAGUCUGAUGGUGUGGGAUAUUCGAGAAGAAUUUGAGGAAUGAAUUUGUGGGCGUUUCAGGGAGAGUCCUGUAAAGAGGAGAACUGAAGGAGAGAGUUGGAGGAAGAGCUUUGGGGUGGUUAGAGAAAGUGUUGGUACCAUCAGAGAAAGAAGGGUUGUGGAGAUUGGAAGAAAGGAGUCAUCAGGAGCAAAUGAGAAAAGGAGGUGAGAAGGUUGGAAGACCCCAGAAAACGUGUUGGUUCAUGUAGACAGCAGGACAUUGACCAUGGAAGCAUGAAUUCACUAAGGAAUGUGUAACAACUCUCCUGCUGAAUAAACUAGCCCUGAAAAUGGAUGGCGCUGGAACGGCGGGCCCAUACCCGGCCUGUGCUGAGAGCCAUGAGGGAUAAGCCGGGACGAGUAAGGGGGCCACUGCAGUGUGCACAGAAGCCCCGGGCGAGGGCCCGGGUAGAGCCACCACCAGUGCAGAUUUUAGAGGUAGCAGCAAAUAUUCAAAUGAGAACUUUGAAGGCCUAAAAGGACAAGGGUUCCAUGUUAACAGCAGUUGAACAUGGAUCAGUCGGUCCUAAGAGAUGGGUGAGCAACAUUCGGAAGGGACAGGUGAUGGCCUCCAUUGCCCUCGGCCGAUCGAAAGGUAGUUGUGCUCAGAUCCUAGAACCCAGAGUGGGGGAGAUAGGUACACUUGUGGCAUCCAGUGCGGUAAUGCAAAAGAUCUCAGAGUACCCGCCACAAGCCCCGGAAGAGUUCUCUUUACUUUGUGAAGGGCAAGGUGCCCUGGAAAGGGUUUGCCCCGAGAGAGGGGCCCGAGCCUUGGAAAGCAUCGCAAUUCCAGCUGCAUCCAGUGAGCUCUCGCUGAUCCUUGGAAAUCGGGGGGAGAUGGUAUAAACCUUGUACCAGGCCGUACCCAUAUCUGCAGCAGGUCUCCAAGGUGAACAGUCUCUGGCAUGUUGGAACAAUGUAGAUGAGGGAAGUCGGCAAGUCAGAUCCGUAACUUUGGGGAAAGGAUUGGCUCUAAGGGCUGGGUCGGUCGGGCAGGAGCGCGAAGCGGGGCUGAGUGCUGGCCGUGUCUGGACAAGGCAUCUUCCCCAUGGGGGCAGCACCGAUUAUGGACGUGAAUUGGGCAAAUUCCUGUGGAUCACCCUAAAUGCAUUGGUCACCUCUCUCGGUUCUCCCCCAUGUUCGGGCCGGCUUACUGCCUCAGCCAACACCGAGCAGCUGACUAAGAACUGUUGUGAGUCUAAAUGUAAACAAGAGUGGUGUCUCAUGUAAGGAAUGUUGAAUAUAAAACCAAAACCUUCAUCAGCAUUUUGUAAUAAAUAUAUUCACUGUGACGUAUUUGUCUUUUCUGGAGUUGUUGCUGCUUGCUCAUUUUGUUCAUGUAAUGUGAUUAAGUGUGUUUUGGUUCUGCAUUCUACUUUGCUUCCAUGAGACACCACUCUUUUUAUUUACAUGUAAACUUAACCCAGGUGUCUACGGGUUAAGGGGUGUACCCACUCAAUAGCGGAUUAGAAAUGGUGUGAACCAGGGGAAUCUGACUGUUUAGUUAAAACAAAGCAUCAUGAAGGCCUGCAGAGCGUGUUGACGCAGUGUGAUUUCUGCACAGUGCUCUGAAUGUCAAAGUAAAGAAAUUCGAUGAAGCAUGGGUAAACUGCGGGAGUAACUAUGACUUCCACAUGGUAGCCAAAUGCCCCGUCAUCGAAUUUGUGGCGCACAUGAAUGAAUAAAUGAAAUUCUUACUGUCCCUACCUACCAUCUAGCAAAACCACAGCCAAGGGAGCGGACUUGCCAGAAUCAGCGGGAAAAGAGUACCACUUUGAGCUUGACUCUAAUCUGGCACUGUGAAGAGACAUGAAUGGUGUAGUAUAAGUGGGAGGCCCUCAGGCUGCCGGUGAAAUACCACUACUCAUUUUUUUUUUCACUUGCCCGAUGAAUUGGGGGUCCAUCCCCAGGGGGCACUUGCUUCUAGCUUCAAAUGCCUGGCACAUGCCACGCAUGACCCGCUCUGGGGACAGUGGCAAUCAGGGCGUUUGACUGGCGCUAUACACCUCUCAAAGGAUAACGCAGGUGUCUGAAGGCGACCUCAGGGAGGUCAGAAACCUCCUGUGGAGCAGAAGAGCAAAAGCUUGCUUGAUCUCGAUUUUCAGUGUGAAUGCAGACCGUGAAAGCAGGUCCUCAUCAUCCUUCUGACUUUUGGGGUUUCAAGCAGGAGGUGUCAGAAAAGCUACCACAGGGAUAACUGGCUUGCGACGGCCAACCGUACAUAUUGGUGUCGCUUUUUGAUCCUUAAAUGUCGGCUCUUCCUAUCAUUGUGUAGCACCUUACCGUGCCAUGGUUCGGGACUGGCUCCACUCAGGGGCACAGCGAGACUCCGGAUGGCGUCUGGUGCCAGUGGAGUAGGAUCCCUACCCUUCUGUGGGGUUGUGCAUGCUCUUUAGUAGUGGCACUAGGCAUAGUCCCACAAAAGAGUGGGAUUAUGUGUAGCUUUCCCCCAACCCUUCCUUGGCCUGGUCUCCUCCCCGGG